CUAGCAAAGUAUUGCCUAAGUUUCUUUGACUUUUGGUUGUGAGAACCUCUUCUUAGCAAGCUUUCAUCAUGAUUGAGCAUUUCCUGGGAACCUGGAAGCUGGUAUCCAGUGAAAAUUUUGAAGAAUAUAUGAAAGAGUUAGGAGUGAGCGCUACCCUCCGGAACCUUGCGGGGUUAGCAAAACCCAGAAUCCGUAUCAGUGCCCAUGGGGAUAAUGUUAACAUCAAAACAGAAAGCUCUUUCAAGAACACAGAGAUCACCUUCAAGCUGGGGGAAGAAUUUGACGAAACCACAGCAGACAACCGGAAAGUGAAAAGCAUCAUAACCUUAGACGGUGGGUCCAUGAUUCAUGUCCAAAAAUGGCUCGGCAAAGAGACAACAAUCAGAAGACAAAUUGUAGAUGGGAAAAUGGUAGUGAUGAUUGAAGAGCCAUUCAUCGCCUAGCCCUGACACUGCUUUUCCCCAUUGGAUCUCUGCAAGAGUCACAUGUUUUGGACAUCUUUGAAAAGAAUCUUCUGAGAGCUUCGGCAUCUCAUUUGAGUCUCCUGAAUCUCACUUAGCACUGUGUUGAAUUUUCUUCCAUCACAAUGAGCAACAAAUUCCUAGGUACCUGGAAACUUGUCUCCAGUGAGAACUUUGAUGAUUACAUGAAAGCUCUGGGAGUGGGAUUAGCCACCAGAAAACUGGGAAAUUUGGCCAAACCCAGAGUGAUUAUCAGCAAGAAAGGGGAUAUUAUAACUAUAAGAACUGAAAGUACCUUUAAAAACACAGAGAUCUCCUUCAAGCUAGGCCAGGAAUUUGAAGAAACUACAGCUGACAAUAGGAAAGCAAAGAGCGUUGUAACCUUGGCAAGAGGCUCGCUGAAUCAAGUACAAAAAUGGGAUGGCAAAGAGACAACAAUAAAGAGAAAGCUGGUGGAUGGAAAAAUGGUAGUGGAAUGUAAGAUGAAGGAUGUGGUGUGCACCAGAAUUUAUGAGAAGGUCUGAGAAAACUGUUUCCUCAUUGAAGUGAUAUUUGAUCAUUUGAUGUUGGAAAUCAGCUGUUUCCCUUGGCAAGGCCUGACUAUACUGCAGUUUGUUUGCUUUUGUCUUAAUAGAUUUGACAGGCAAAGACCUAAACUGAGGAUUAAUCUAAACAGUUUCACUUUAGUUAAACAGUUUCACUUUGUACUUGUUGGCUGUUUUCAAGAUUAAAGUAUGUAUAUCAGCCAGACCUCAGGAGUGGAUAAUGUCAUUUAAUUAUCUGUGGAGUUCUAACCUGUGUUGUACUUUUGCAUAUUUGAAACGAUAGUAAAAGGAAGUAAUAGGAUAGUAAAAGGAAGUAAAUAUAUUGAUUGUGGUCACCAACUCAAAUGUCUUCAGGGUCCAGAAGGGUCGAGCGGAGAAGGAUCACAAGUGAGGCGAGCUAGAAGUAGAAGCUGUUUUCUAAUGAAGACCCCCAGAUUGGGCUACAAAAGGCAGUCUACUUCUGCCAAUUUAAAAAACGAAGGUUAAUUUACAGACAGUGAAAUGCACAGAUACUAAAGAUAGAGUGCAAUCCAAUUUGACAAGUGCAUGCACCCACAUAAUUCACAUCCUGUUCAAGAUAUAGCACCACUCCCUAAUCCCGGAAGGUUUUCUCAUGCUCCUUCCCAGUCAAUGCCCCGCCCUGUCCCAGCUCCAACAAAAGCAAGACGUGAUUUCAUUUCUAUAGCUAUAGAUUAGUUUUCCCUACUCUCACAUUUCAUAUAAAUGGAAUUACAUGUUAUAUGUUCUUUUCUGCUUGCCUUUUUUAAACUUGGCAUUAUGUUUUUGAAACUCACCCAUGUGGUUGCGUGCAGUAGUACUUUGCUCCCUUUAUUGCUGAGUAGUAUUCCAUUACGUGAAUAUAUUGCAGUUUAUCCAUUCUUCUCUUAAGACCACUGAGCUAUUUCCUGUUUUUGGCUUCUAUGAAUAAAACUACUAUAAACAUUCUUGUA